AGCUUGCUCCUUUGACGUUAGCGGCGGACGGGUGAGUAACACGUGGGCAACCUACCCUAUAGUUUGGGAUAACUCCGGGAAACCGGGGCUAAUACCGAAUAAUCUCUUUUGCUUCAUGGUGAAAGACUGAAAGACGGUUUCGGCUGUCGCUAUAGGAUGGGCCCGCGGCGCAUUAGCUAGUUGGUGAGGUAACGGCUCACCAAGGCGACGAUGCGUAGCCGACCUGAGAGGGUGAUCGGCCACACUGGGACUGAGACACGGCCCAGACUCCUACGGGAGGCAGCAGUAGGGAAUCUUCCACAAUGGGCGAAAGCCUGAUGGAGCAACGCCGCGUGAGUGAAGAAGGUUUUCGGAUCGUAAAACUCUGUUGUAAGGGAAGAACAAGUACAGUAGUAACUGGCUGUACCUUGACGGUACCUUAUUAGAAAGCCACGGCUAACUACGUGCCAGCAGCCGCGGUAAUACGUAGGUGGCAAGCGUUGUCCGGAAUUAUUGGGCGUAAAGCGCGCGCAGGCGGUCCUUUAAGUCUGAUGUGAAAGCCCACGGCUCAACCGUGGAGGGUCAUUGGAAACUGGGGGACUUGAGUGCAGAAGAGGAAAGUGGAAUUCCAAGUGUAGCGGUGAAAUGCGUAGAGAUUUGGAGGAACACCAGUGGCGAAGGCGACUUUCUGGUCUGUAACUGACGCUGAGGCG
rnacentral:rRNA from 1 species